rnacentral:rRNA from 1 species
AUUGAACGCUGGCGGCAGGCCUAACACAUGCAAGUCGAGCGAGCGGCGGACGGGUGAGUAAUGUCUGGGAAACUGCCUGAUGGAGGGGGAUAACUACUGGAAACGGUAGCUAAUACCGCAUACCAUCUGAUGUGCCCAGAUGGGAUUAGCUAGUAGGUGGGGUAAGGGCUCACCUAGGCGACGAGCCCUAGCUGGUCUGAGAGGAUGACCAGCCACACUGGAACUGAGACACGGUCCAAACUCCUACGGGAGGCAGCAGUGGGGAAUUUUGGACAAUGGGCGAAAGCCUGAUCCAACCAUGCCGCGUGUCUGAAGAAGGCCUUCGGGUUGUAAAGGACUUUUGUCAGGGAAGCGGUACCUGAAGAAUAAGCACCGGCUAACUACGUGCCAGCAGCCGCGGUAAUUC